UGCAUCCUACGGGGGGCAGCAGUAGGGAAUAUUGCUCAAUGGGGGAAAUCCUGAAGCAGCAACGCCGCGUGGAGGAUGAAGGUUUUAGGAUUGUAAACUCCUUUUGUGAGAGAAGAUAAUGACGGUAUCUCACGAAUAAGCACCGGCUAACUCCGUGCCAGCAGCCGCGGUAAUACGGAGGGUGCAAGCGUUACUCGGAAUCACUGGGCGUAAAGAGCGCGCAGGCGGGGUUGUAAGUCAGAUGAGAAAUCCUGUAGCUUAACUACAGAACUGCAUUUGAAA
rnacentral:rRNA from 1 species